rnacentral:lncRNA from 1 species
AGUAGAAUUCUCAAUGGAAUGAGAGUCUGUCUUACCUUCCUUUCCAACCAUAAUGAUCUCACCUUUCUUUCCAUUUUCAAAGGAUACAUUACCUCCUUUUAGGUUCUCAAGUGAAAGGAACUGGUCCUUGUUCCCAGUCAUGUGUUUUGAGAAGCCACUAUCCAUGUACAAUAUUUGGCUACUCCCUUUCAAUUGAACAUGCAGA